rnacentral:rRNA from 1 species
UACGGAGGGGGCAAGCGUUGUUCGGAAUUACUGGGCGUAAAGGGCGCGCAGGCGGCUGCUCAAGUCAGGCGUGAAAGGCCUGGGCUCAACCCGGGAAUUGCGCUUGAGACUGGGCUGGCUUGAGUGCGGGAGAGGAUGGUGGAAUUCCCAGUGUAGAGGUGAAAUUCGUAGAUAUUGGGAAGAACACCGGUGGCGAAGGCGGCCAUCUGGACCGCAACUGACGCUGAGGCGCGAAAAGCGUGGGGAGCAAACAGG